UACAGAGGGUGCUAGCGUUAAUCGGAAUUACUGGGCGUAAAGGGUGUGUAGGUGGUUUAAGUAAGUCAGAUGUAAAACCCCCGGGCUUAACCUGGGAAUGUCGUUUGAUACUGCUUAGCUAGAGUACUAUAGAGGAUAGUGGAAUUUCCAGUGUAGCGGUGAAAUGCGUAGAUAUUGGAAGGAACACCAGUGGCGAAGGCGACUAUCUGGAUAGAAACUGACACUGAAACACGAAAGCAUGGGUAGCAAACAGG
rnacentral:misc_RNA from 1 species